ensembl:snoRNA SNORA49 small nucleolar RNA, H/ACA box 49
CGUCCUCAGCCUUACUCCAGGGGCUUUUUUGCCGGUAAAGUGCCCUGGCAUUGCCUGAGGAUAAAGAGAAAGCACACACCCUCCCCACAAGACUUUGCUCUCUUGUGGGGCCUACAGACUGAGCUGACAGA